rnacentral:rRNA from 1 species
UACGGAGGGUGCAAACGUUGUUCGGAAUUAUUGGGCGUAAAGCGCGUGUAGGCGGCUUUGCAAGUCGGGUGUGAAAGCCCUCAGCUCAACUGAGGAAGUGCGCCCGAAACUGCAUGGCUUGAGUACCGGAGAGGAUGGCGGAAUUCCCCAAGUAGAGGUGAAAUUCGUAGAUAUGGGGAGGAACACCGGUGGCGAAGGCGGCCAUCUGGACGGAUACUGACGCUGAGACGCGAAAGCGUGGGGAGCAAACAGG